AUGCUUCUAAUACCACAUAUACUGAAAUUGGAAUAAUGCAGAGAAGAUUAAUACGGCCCCUGUGCAAAGACAACAUGUUUCUAUAUUAAGAUUGACACUUCAUC